rnacentral:rRNA from 1 species
GACGAACGCUGGCGGCGUGCUUAACACAUGCAAGUCGAACGGAUAACGCGGGCUUUUUCUUGCUACGGGUGGGUGGCGAGUGGGUAAGGAACAAGUAAGCCCUCUGUCCUGGGCUCUGAGAUACGCGUUAGACACGACGUACUAUAUCGGAUACGACGCGGGAGGGCAGCCUUUUCCCGAGGUAAGAACAUCAGUUUGGGAUGAGCUCGCGGCCUCUCAGCUUGUUGGAGAGGUAUCGGAUGGCCAAGGCGCCGCAGGGUAGCGGGCCUGAGAGGGUGACCGGCCACACGGGGACUGAGACACGGCCCAGACGCCGACGGGAGGCAGCAGUGGGGAAUAUUGCACAAUGGGCGCAAGCCUGAUGCAGCAACGCCGCGUGAGGGACGACGGCCUUCGGGUUGUAAACCGCUUUUAGCAGGGAAGAAGCGAAAGUGACGGUACCGGCAGAAAAAGCACCGGCUAACUACGUG